CCAAAUACCCCAAAAUAUACCCUCAAAUACCCCAAAAAUUCACCCAAAAUACCCCAAAAAUUCACCAAAAAUACAGGCCAAAACUCCCUAAAUUCACCCCAAAAACACACCCCAAAUACCCCAAAAAUUCACCCCAAAUGCCCCAAAAAUUCACCAAAAAUACAGCCUGAAUACAGCCCAAAAUACCCCAAAUUCACCCCAAAAACACACCCCAAAUGCACCCUCAAAUAUGCCAAAAACACACCCCAAAUGCCCCAAAAAUUCACCAAAAAUACAGCCCAAAACUCCCCAAAUUCACCCCAAAAAUACACCCCAAAUGCCCCAAAAAUUCACCCAAAAUACCCCAAAAAUUCACCCAAAAUACCCCAAAAAUUCACCCAAAAUACAACCCAAAUACAGCCUAAAAAAGCCCAAAUUCACCCCAAAAACACAUCCCAAAUACCCCAAAAUAUACCCUCAAAUACCCCAAAAAUUCACCCAAAAUACAGCCCAAAACUCCCCAAAUUCACCCCAAAAAUUCACCCCAAAUGCCCCAAAAUACACCUAAAAAUACACCCAAAAUACCCCAAAUCCACCCCAAAAAUCCACCCAAAAUCCUCCAAAAAUUCCCAAAUUUUUAGGAAAAACCCCAAAAAAUCCCAAAUUUUUAGGAAAAACCCCCAAAAAUUCCCAAAUUUUUCCACAAAAAAAACCCCAAAUUUUUUAAGAAAAACCCCAAAUAUCCCGAAUUUUUUAGGAAAACCCCCAAAAAUUCCCAAAUUUUUUAGGAAAAACCCCAAAUUUUUUAGGAAAAACCCCCCAAAAUUCCCAAAUUUUUUCUCAAACACCCUUAAAUUUUUAGGAAAAACCAAAAAAAUUCCCGAAUUUUUAGUAAAAACCCCCCAAAAAAUCCCGAAUUUUUCCACAAAAAAACCCCAAAUUUUUUAGGAAAAACCCAAAAAAUUCCCAAAUUUUUAGUAAAAACCCCCCAAAAAAUCCCAAAUAUUUCCAAAAAAAACCCCAAAUUUUUUAGUAAAAACCCAAAAAAUUCCCAAAUUUUUAGUAAAAACCCCAAAAAACCCCAAAUUUUUCCACAAAACCCCAAAUUUUUUAGGAAAACCCCCAAAAAAUCCCAACUUUCUGGGGAAAAACCCCCAAAAAUCCCAAAUUUUUCCACAAAAAACCCCAAAUUUUUUAGUAAAAACCCCAAAAAAUCCCAAAUUUUUAGUAAAAAACCCCAAAAAUCCCAAAUUUUGGGGGAAAAACCCCCAAAAAUUCCCAAAUUUUUUCUCAAACACCCUUAAAUUUUUAGGAAAAACCCAAAAAAUUCCCGAAUUUUUAGUAAAAACCCCCCAAAAAUACCAAGUUUUUCCACAAAAAACCCCAAAUUUUUUAGGAAAAACCCAAAAAAUUCCCAAAUUUUUAGUAAAAACCCCAAAAAACCCCAAAUUUUUCCACAAAACCCCAAAUUUUUUAGGAAAACCCCCAAAAAAUCCCAAAUUUUUAGUAAAAAACCCCAAAAAUCCCAAAUUUUGGGGGAAAAACCCCCAAAAAUUCCCAAAUUUUUUCUCAAACACCCUUAAAUUUUUAGGAAAAACCCAAAAAAUUCCCGAAUUUUUAGUAAAAACCCCCCAAAAAUACCAAGUUUUUCCACAAAAAACCCCAAAUUUUUUAGGAAAAACCCCAAAUUUUUCCACAAAAAACCCCAGAUUUUUUAGUAAAAACCCCCCAAAACUCCCCAUUUUUUCGGAAAAACCCCAAAUUCGGGUGUUUUUUUUGGCAGCAAUGCAACGACGUGGGGCUGAUGGCGUACCUGGGCACCAUCACCAAAACCUGCAACACCAUGAACCAGUUCGUCAACAAAUUCAACGUGCUCUACGACCGGCAGGGCAUCGGGCGCCGCAUGCGAGGGCUCUUCUUCUGAGACGAAAACGCACGGGAACGGGCAAAAACGGGCAAAAACACACAAAAACGCACGGAAACGGGCAAAAACGGGAGAAAAACGGGCAAAAACGACACCGAAACCCACGGGAACCGGCGGAAAAACGCACGGGAACGGGCAAAAACGGGCAAAAACGGGACAAAAACGGACAAAAAUGGACAGAAAUGGACAGAAAUGGACAGAAACGACACAAAAACGCACGGAAACGGGCAAAAACCGCAUGGAAAUGGACAAAAACAGGACAAAAAUGGACAGAAAUAGACAGAAACGACACAAAAACACACGGGAAAGGGGGAAAAACGGGAGAAAAACGGGACAAAACGGACAAAAAUGGACAGAAACGACACAAAAACGGACAGAAACGGGCGGAAACCGCACGGGAACGGGCAAAAAUGGACAAAAAUGGGACAAAAACAGACAAAAAUGGACAGAAACGGACGGAAAUGGACAGAAACGGGACAAAAAUGGGACAAAAAUGGACAAAAACAACCCAAAAAUGGACAAAGACAGAAAUGGACAGAAAAAUGGGACAAAAAUGGACAAAAAUGUGACAAAAACGGACAGAAACAGACAGAAAUGACCCAAAAAUGACCCAGAAUGACCCAAAAACGGCCCAAAACCGCACGGAAAUGGACAGAAGCGACGCAAAAAUGGACAAAGAAGACACAAAAAUGGACAGAAACGGACAAAAAUGGACAAAAAAGACACAAAACCUGCCCAAAAACAGCCCAAAACAGCCCAAAAAUGACCCAAGACCAGCCCAACCUGCCCAAAAACAGCCCAAAACAGCCCAAAAAUGACCCAAGACCAGCCCAAAAACGGCCAAAAAUGACCCAAAAAUGGCCAAAAACGACCCAAAAACGGCCCCAGAUGGAGAAACGGCACCGGAAUCCACAGAAAUGGACCCAGAAUGACAGAAAUAGACCCAAAAUCCAUAAAAAUCGACCCAAAAUGCACAAAAAUGGACCCAAAAUGCACAAAAACGGAAUCAGAACGGCCAGGAAAGAACCCAAAAUUCGUAAAAAUGGCCCCAAAAUUGACCCAGGGCCACAGAAAGCCCCAAAAUUCAGAGAAAUUGACCCAAAAUCCUCAGGAAUGGCCCCAAAAUUGAUAAAAAUGGCCCCAAAAUUGAUAAAAAUGACCCAAAAUUGAUAAAAAUGGCCCCAAAAUUCCCAAAAUCCCCCCCAGAAUUCCCGAAAUUCCCGGAAUUCCCCGGGAUCGGCGCCGGGUUUGGGUCAAUAAAGUUGAGUUUCAAGAAAAAAAGGAAUUUGGG
ensembl:lncRNA